UGGGGAAUAUUGGGCAAUGGGGGAAACCCUGACCCAGCAACGCCGCGUGAGGGAAGAAGGUUCUCGGAUUGUAAACCUCUGUCCUUGGUGACGAAACAAAUGACGGUAGCCAAGGAGGAAGCCCCGGCUAACUACGUGCCAGCAGCCGCGGUAAUACGUAGGGGGCAAGCGUUGUCCGGAAUUAUUGGGCGUAAAGGGCGCGUAGGCGGCUGUACAAGUCUGAUGUGAAAGUGCGGGGCUUAACCCCGUAAAGCAUUGGAAACUGUACGGCUUGAGGACAGGAGAGGAAAGUGGAAUUCCUAGUGUAGCGGUGAAAUGCGUAGAUAUUAGGAGGAACACCAGUGGCGAAGGCGACUUUCUGGACUGUAACUGACGCUGAGGCGCGAAAGCGUGGGGAGCAAACAGG
rnacentral:rRNA from 1 species